rnacentral:rRNA from 1 species
AUACGUAGGGAGCGAGCGUUGUCCGGAAUUACUGGGCGUAAAGGGCGCGUAGGCGGCGCUUCAAGUCGUCUGUCAAAUGGGAGGGCUUAACCCUUUUUCGCAGACGAAACUGGAGAGCUUGAGAAGCAGAGAGGCAAACAGAAUCCCUGGUGUAGCGGUGAAAUGCGUAGAUAUCAGGAAGAAUACCAGUGGCGAAGGCGGUUUGCUGGCUGCAUACUGACGCUGAAGCGCGAAAGCCAGGGGAGCAAACGGGAUUAGAUACCCCGGUAGUCCUGGCAGUAAACGAUGUAUGCUGGGUGUGAGACUAGCGAUAGUUUCGUGCCGAAGUUAACGCGAUAAGCAUACCGCCUGGGGAGUACGGUCGCAAGAUUGAAACUCAAAGGAAUUGGCGGGG